rnacentral:rRNA from 1 species
GUCUACGGCCAUACUACCCUGAACACGCCUGAUUUCGGCCUACAGACUUGGAGGUUAAAGGGUCAGGCCUGGUUAAUACUUGGGAGACUGCCUUAGACUCUCAGGUGCUUUAUAGU